UGGUGCAUGAAUUCAUCUUCAACGUGCUCCGGCUGGCAUUGUAAGUAGUUCCGGUGGUUUAGCUCGAGAGCGGAGUAGAUGCACCCGGGAUUUUGUGAUUGAGCGCAAAUCCGAAUAGCGGGUCAAGUCUGCCUGUCAUGAUACCUAAAUGACCGCACGACUGACCAAUUAGACGUCUUUAGAGCCACUUGCAAUCAGCUCGAGCCACGGCACCGUAUAACGCUGGUGAAUCUUUGUCUUCGAAUGGGAAUUCUCAAGUGUAGAGCAGGCGUCUGGAACCGCUGUACCUGAAGAAAAUUGCCGGUUCAUACUAACCUAAGAGGCGGCUGAAUGAACGACUCGACAACAUGCGGCGAGGAAGGAGUCGGCCUUCAUCCUCCUCUUCCUCUGUGAAUUCCCCAGAUGCUUUGGCCCGCCGAGAGAUGGAACGGACCGGAAAGUACGUGAACCAGGGGCAAGGCAUUACAGCAAAUCCUCUGUGAAUCUACGUCUCCUCCUCCCCCUCCUCCUCCUCCUCCUCCUCCUCCUCCUCCUCCUCUCCUCCUCCAGCUCUUCCACCUCCCCUCCCCCGACCUUGUCUUCCUCCUCCUCCUCACACCAGAGUCUCCUUCCCGUGUGACCCUCUCCCC